UUAUCGGAGAGUUUGAUCCUGGCUCAGGACGAACGCUGGCGGCGUGCCUAAUACAUGCAAGUCGAGCGAACAGAUGGGAGCUUGCUCCCUGAUGUUAGCGGCGGACGGGUGAGUAACACGUGGGUAACCUGCCUGUAAGACUGG
rnacentral:rRNA from 1 species